UACAGAGGGUGCGAGCGUUGUCCGGAAUCACUGGGCGUAAAGGGCGCGUAGGUGGCGGGGUAAGCGUGUGGUGAAAGUCCGGGGCUCAACCCCGGAUCGGCCAUGCGAACUGCCCGGCUGGAGCACGGUAGAGGCGCAUGGAAUUCCGGGUGUAGCGGUGGAAUGCGUAGAGAUCCGGAAGAACGCCGGUGGCGAAGGCGGUGUACUGGGCCGUUGCUGACCCUGAGGCGCGAGAGCGUGGGGAGCAAACAGG
rnacentral:rRNA from 1 species